CGUGCGGGAUGACGGCCUUCGGGUUGUAAACCGCUUUCAUCCAUGACGAAGCGAGAGUGACGGUAGUGGGAGAAGAAGCACCGGCUAACUACGUGCCAGCAGCCGCGGUGAUACGUAGGGUGCGAGCGUUGUCCGGAUUUAUUGGGCGUAAAGAGCUUGUAGGCGGUUUGUUGCGUCGGGAGUGAAAACUCAGGGCUUAACCCUGAGCCUGCUUUCGAUACGGGCAGACUUGAGGAAGGUAGGGGAGAAAUGGAAUUCCUGGUGAAGCGGUGGAAUGCGUAGAUAUCAGGAGGAACACCAGUGGCGAAGGCGGUUCUCUGGACCUUUCCUGACGCUGAGAAGCGAAGCGUGGGGAGCAAACAGGCUUAGAUACCCUGGUAGUCCACGCCGUAAACGGUGGGUACUAGGUGUGGGGGACAUUCCACGUUCUCCGUGCCGCAGCUAACGCAUUAAGUACCCCGCCUGGGGAGUACGGCCGCAAGGCUAAAACCCAAAGGAAUUGACGG
rnacentral:rRNA from 1 species